UAUCUAUAAUUUAUUGUAGAGACUUCAGAUUAGUAAAAAAUUUGAAAAGAGCGAAUAAUUCCUGAGUGUUAGAGAUGGAAGUGCUCUUCCAGUUCUAGCUAUGAGAAAAGUUUAACUUGUUCUCAAUUUAAAUGUCACUAUUUUAGAUGAUUUUCAUUAUUAUCUAUCUUUCCUUAUGAAUGUUAUUUUCAUAGGCCUUUUGGACAAGGAUGGUUAUAAUUUUUCAAUAAAAAAAGAUUUUUGUGAUAUCAGUAUGAAUGGUGUUAUGAUUAUGCAUGGACAAUUGAAACAUGACAUUAUAGUCUGUUAGUGUAAUAUACACAUCGAACAAAUAUCCUAGAGUAGAUAAUAUCGCAGAUG
rnacentral:lncRNA from 1 species